UGAUCUUGAUGAGCGUCAUGGAUCUACACAGAAAGAGAUUAGGAUGUCCACUGAGAUUGAGGAAAGAGUUGGAAAUCUAUUGAGUAGUUCACAAGACGCAGUAUCUGCUGGGACUUCCUCUUCAACAUCUGGUACUUCUGCCAAAUUAUUAUCCAAAGCUGUAGAAACAACCAAACCUAAGUUGUCUAUAGAGGAUGAUAUUG
rnacentral:misc_RNA from 1 species